GAAUCAGUACGCUGGUCGUGCCUUCGGUAUGUACUGGUGUCACUGGUUUCUCCCUUCUGAAGAACCAUCAUGCCAUUCACUUGGUGUGGUGGGAAAUCAGGACUGUUACUUUGAAAAAAUUAGAGUGUUUAAAGCAGGCCUACGCUUGAAUACAUUAGCAUGGAAUAAUAGAAUAGGACU
rnacentral:rRNA from 1 species